UAUCUCUCCUUGCUAUUCUUUGGAAUUCUGAAUUCAAAUGGGAAUAUCUUUCCUUUUCUCCUUUACUUUUUGCUUCUCUUCUUUUCACAGAUAUUUGUAAGGCCUCUUUAGACAGCCAUUUUGCUUUUUGGCAUUUCUUUUUCUUGGGGAUGGUCUUGAUCCCUGUCUCCUGUACAAUGUCAGGAACCUCUGUCCAUAGUUCUUCAGGCACUCUGUCUUUCAGAUCUGAUCCCUUGAAUCCAUUUCUCUCCUCCACUGUAUAAUUGUGAAGGAUUUUAUUUAGGUCAUACCUGAAUGGUCUAGUGGGUUUCCCUACUUUCUUCAAUUUAAAUCUGAAUUUGGCAAUAAGGAGUUCAUUAUCUGAACCACAGUAUAGAGCUUCUCCAUCUUUGGCUGCAAAGAAUAUAAUCAAUCUGAUUUCAGUGUUGAGCAUCUGGUGAUGUCCAUGUGUAAAGUCUUCUCUUGUGUUGUUGGAAGCGGGUGUUUGCUAUGACCAAUGCCUUCUCUUGGCAAAACUUUGUCCUACUUUAUUCUGUACUCUAAGGCCAAAUUUGUCUGUUACUCAAGGUGUUUCUUGACUCCCUACUUUUACAUUCCAGUCUGCUAUAAUGAAAAGGACAUCUUUUUUGGGUAUUAGUUCUAGAAGCUCUUGUAGGUCUUCAUAGAACCGUUCAACUUCAGCUUCUUCAGCAUUCCUGGUCAGGGCAUAGACUUGGAUUACUGUGACAUUGAAUGGCUUGCCUUGGAAAUGAACAGAGAUCAUUCUUUCGUUUUUGAGAUUGCAUCCAAGUACUGCAUUUCAGAGUCUUUUGUUGACUAUGAUGGCUACUCCAUUUCUUCUAAGGGAUUCUUGCCCACAGUAGUAGAUAUAAUGGUCAUCUGAGUUAAAUUUACCCAUUUAAGUGAAUGGGUGAAUCCAUUUUAGUUCACUGAUUCCUAAAAUGUUGAUGUUCACUCUUGCCAUCUCCUGUUUGACCACUUCCAGUUUGCCUUGAUUCAUGGACCUAACAUUCCAGGUUCCUGUACAAUAUUGCUCUUAACAGCAUCAGACUUUGCUUCUAUCACCAGUCACACCCACAAUAGGGUUUUGUUUUUGCUUUGGCUUGUCUCUUCAUUCUUUCUGGAGCUAUUUCUCCAUUGAUCUCCAGUAGCAUAUUGGGCACCUACCGACCUGGGGAGUUCAUCUUUCAGUGUCCUAUCUUUUUGCCUUUUCAUACUGUUCAUGGGGUUUUCAAGGCAAGAAUACUGAAGAGGUUUGCCAUUCCCUUCUCCAGUGGACCACGUUUUGUCAGAACUCUACACCGUGACCCGUCCGUCUUGGGUGGCCCUAACAGGGCAUGUCUCAUAGUUUGAUUGAGUUAGACAAGGCUGUGGUCCAUGUGAUCAGAUUGAUUAGUUUUCUGUGAUUGUGGUUUUCAGUCUGUCUGCCCUCUAAUGGAGAAGGAUAAGAGGCUUAUGGAAGCUUCCUGAUGGGAGAGACUGACUGAGGUGGAAGCUGGAUCUUGUUCUGAUGGGAGGGGCCAUGCUCAGUAAAUCUUUAAUCCAAUUUUCUGUUGAUAGGUGGAGCUGUGUUCCCUCCCUGUUAUUUACCUGGGGCCAAAUUAUGGUGGAGGUAAUGAAGAUAAUGGCGACCUCCUUCAAGAGGUCCCAUGCAGGCCCUUCUGGACUCAGUGCCCCCAACCCUGCAGCAGGCCACCACUGACCCACGCCUCUGCUGAGACUCCUGGACACUCCCAGACAAGUCUGGUGGCCCAACUAUAAACUUCACAAAUGAUUCUAAGUUUAAAGCCAACACUGCAGUCCUGGCCACAUGCAACAGUAGCUGUGUGAUUCCUUGACCUGGUCCGACCUUUCCCUGGUAAUACCAUUUUGGAAGACAUAACUUAAAAAAGAAAGAAAGAAGUCCAAAAACUUUGACAUUGUAAAAACAUUAUAAAUAAUGAAAAUUUAAAAUGCUGAGACACCCUAGAAUGAAUAUUGAUAAGCAAAUGGUGUUAAGUAUAUGAUGUGUACUAGAGUACCCAGUAGAUAGUAGAUAAAUAUUUAUUGAGUAACCAAAUGAGUGCAGCCUGUAGAUAUAGAGAUAACAGUAGCCAUAAGAGAUAACAGGUUGUGGAUAUGAAGUGUUAGGUGGGGAAGGAAGGGGUGAAUUAGGAGUUUGGAAUUAACGUAUAUACCCUAUUAUAUAUAAAGUAGAUAAUCAACAGGUACCUACUGUAUAGCAGAGAAUUCUACUCAGUAUUUUGUAAUAACUUGAAAGGGAAAAGACUCUGAAAAAGAGUUCUUAUAUAUAUAUUCAGGUAUUUAUGUAUAACUGAAUCAUUGUGUUAUACACCUGAAACUAACACAAUAUUGUAAGUCAACUAUGCUUCAAUUAAAAAAAGAAAGAAUGUUAGAUGAGAAAAAAGAUCCCACUCUGUAAGAAUGUCUCCUAUAUUGAGACAAAUCAGGGUGUGUUAUGGAUAUACUGCCUGUCUCUCUCUGAAGGUGAAUAAAAAAUCAAAAUACCACAUCAGUCAUAUCACUGGUACUUCUUGAAAAUAAAUGCUGUUUACUGCCUCAA